rnacentral:misc_RNA from 1 species
GAUGAAGAACGUAGUGAAAUGCGAUAAGUAAUGUGAAUUGCAGAAUUCAGUGAAUCAUCGAAUCUUUGAACGCACAUUGCGCCCGCCAGCAUUCUGGCGGGCAUGCCUGUUCGAGCGUCAUUUCAACCCUCGAGCCCCCCCGGGGGCCUCGGUGUUGGGGGACGGCACACCAGCCGCCCCCGAAAUGCAGUGGCGACCUCGCCGCAGCCUCCCCUGCGUAGUAGCACACACCUCGCACCGGAGCGCGGAGACGGUCACGCCGUAAAACGCCCAACUUCUUAGAGUUGACCUCGGAUCAGGUAGGAAUACCCGCUGAACUUAAGCAUAUCAAUAAGCGGAGGA